rnacentral:rRNA from 1 species
UACGAAGGGGGCUAGCGUUGCUCGGAAUGACUGGGCGUAAAGCGACCGCAGGCGGCCUGACAAGUCGGAUGUGAAAGCCCUGGGCUCAACUCAGGAAUUGCAUUCGAAACUGGUAGGCUCGAGUACGGGAGAGGGGGGUGGAAUUCCUGGUGUAGGGGUGAAAUUCGUUGAUAUCAGGAGGAACACCGGCGGCGAAGGCGGCCCCCUGGCCCGCAACUGACGCUCAUGGUCGAAAGCGUGGGGAGCAAACAGG